GUUGAGGUGGGGUGUUGAUCAGUGAUGGGAACAGCACCACCGUGUCUUUCUUUCUUUAAGAUAAGUUAGAUUGAAUAAAUAUAUCAACUAAAAUCUAUCUCCCUUUCAGAAAUUUUAUCCACUUGAAUCGUUUUUUUCGAUUAUCCCCCUUUUUUCCCUCUAAGAUAUUCUUAUUUUUCUCCUCUUAAUCUUCUUCCAUUUUUUCGCUAGAAAGAAAAAACAGAAAAAAGAAAAAGAGAAACUUUAGCAGCAACAUGACGAGAAGGCAGCAGGAUUAUCCCAUAAGCUUUUGAGAUCUUUUCGCUGUGAU
rnacentral:lncRNA from 1 species